rnacentral:rRNA from 1 species
GACUAACGCUGGCGGUAUGCCUUAGACAUGCAAGUCGAACGAGUUUCCGGGCUUGCUUGGAAACUAGUGGCGAACGGCUGAGUAACGCGUAGGUGACCUACCCCGUAGUGUGGAAUAACUGCCCGAAAGGGUAGCUAAUACCGCAUGUUGAGCCGACUUCACUGUUGUCUCCAAAGCAGAAAUGCGCUAUGGGCGGGGCCUGCGUUCGAUUAGCUAGUUGGUGGGGUAACGGCUCACCAAGGCGACGAUCGAUAGGUGGUUUGAGAGGACGAUCACCCAGACUGGGACUGAGACACGGCCCAGACUCCUACGGGAGGCAGCAGUUGGGAAUUUUGCGCAAUGGGGGAAACCCUGACGCAGCAAUACCGCGUGUGGGAUGAAGGCCUUCGGGUUGUAAACCACUUUUUUUGGGGACGAUAAUGACGGUAAACGGAGAAUAAGCCACGGCUAACUACGUGCCAGCAGCCCCGGUA